rnacentral:lncRNA from 1 species
AAAAGUCUGCUUCCAGACGUGUUGGAGUGCCAUUUGUAUGUUAUUUAUUUCUUUUCUCUUGCUGCUUUUAGGAUCCUCUCUUUAUAUGUGGCCUUUGGGAAUUUGAUUAUUAAAUGCCUUGAGGUAGUUGGGUUAAAUCUACUUAGUGUUCUAUAAACUUCUUGUACUUGGAUAUUGAUGUCUUUCUCUAGGUUUGGGAAGUUCUCUGUUAAUAUUUAUCCCUUUGAAUAAACUUUCUACACCUAUCUCUUUCUCAGCCUCCUCUUUAAGGCCAAUAACUCUCAGAUUUCCCCUUUUGAGUCUGUUUUUUAGGUCAUAUAGGCAUAUUUUAUGGUUUUUUAUUUUUCUUCUUUUGUCUCUUCUGAUUGUGGCUAUACAUGCAAUUGAGCCUUUAUUACAGGAACCUUAAUACAUUUUACUUA